rnacentral:misc_RNA from 1 species
AAGACUAUAGACCUGCGGAGUACCUGCGGAGGAUCAUUAUUGAAUUAUGUUUCUAAAUGGGUUGUAGCUGGCUCGUCAGAGCAUGUGCACGCCUGUUUGGACUUCAUUUUCAUCCACCUGUGCACCUAUUGUAGUCUUUGGUUGGGUAUCAAGGAAGUGGUCAGCCUAUCAGCACUUGCUGGAUGUGAGGACUUGCAGUGUGAAAGCUUUGCUGUCCUUUACUUGAUCAUGGAGUUGUUU